CAACUUUCAGCAACGGAUCUCUUGGCUCUCGCAUCGAUGAAGRACGCAGCGAAAUGCGAUAAGUAAUGUGAAUUGCAGAAUUCAGUGAAUCAUCGAAUCUUUGAACGCAUCUUGCGCUCCUUGGUAUUCUGAGGAGCAUGCCUGUUUGAGUGUCAUAA
rnacentral:rRNA from 1 species